rnacentral:rRNA from 1 species
GAUGAACGCUAGCGGCAGGCUUAACACAUGCAAGUCGAGGGGCAGCAUAAUGGUAGCAAUACUAUUGAUGGCGACCGGCGGACGGGUGCGUAACGCGUAUGCAACCUACCCUUUACAGGGGGAUAACACUGAGAAAUCGGUACUAAUACCCCAUAAUAUUCUGGGAGGCAUCUUUCGGAGUUGAAAGCUUUGGUGGUAAAGGAUGGGCAUGCGUUGUAUUAGCUAGUUGGUAAGGUAACGGCUUACCAAGGCGACGAUACAUAGGGGGACUGAGAGGUUAACCCCCCACAUUGGUACUGAGACACGGACCAAACUCCUACGGGAGGCAGCAGUGAGGAAUAUUGGUCAAUGGACGGAAGUCUGAACCAGCCAUGCCGCGUGCAGGAAGACGGCUCUAUGAGUUGUAAACUGCUUUUGUACGAGGGUAAACGCAGAUACGCGUAUCUGCCUGAAAGUAUCGUACGAAUAAGGAUCGGCUAACUCCGUGCCAGCAGCCGCGGUAAUACGGAGGAUCCAAGCGUUAUCCGGAUUUAUUGGGUUUAAAGGGUGCGUAGGCGGUUUAGUAAGUCAGCGGUGAAAUUUUGGUGCUUAACACCAAACGUGCCGUUGAUACUGCUGGGCUAGAGAGUAGUUGCGGUAGGCGGAAUGUAUGGUGUAGCGGUGAAAUGCUUAGAGAUCAUACAGAACACCGAUUGCGAAGGCAGCUUACCAAACUAUAUCUGACGUUGAGGCACGAAAGCGUGGGGAGCAAACAGGAUUAGAUACCCUGGUAGUCCACGCAGUAAACGAUGAUAGCUCGUUGUCGGCGAUACACAGUCGGUGACUAAGAGAAAUCGAUAAGCUAUCCACCUGGGGAGUACGUUCGCAAGAAUGAAACUCAAAGGAAUUGACGGGGGCCCGCACAAGCGGAGGAACAUGUGGUUUAAUUCGAUGAUACGCGAGGAACCUUACCCGGGCUUGAAAGUUACUGACGAUUCUGGAAACAGGAUUUCCCUUCGGGGCAGGAAACUAGGUGCUGCAUGGUUGUCGUCAGCUCGUGCCGUGAGGUGUCGGGUUAAGUCCCAUAACGAGCGCAACCUCUACUGAUAGUUGCCAUCAGA